rnacentral:lncRNA from 1 species
UGUUGAAAUGUGAAUUAAAAUUAUAAGGCCUUAUUUAGCUGUCCAGAUGUUUUCAUUUAGAUUGAAAAUAGUUUGCUUCUGUUGAAGGCAUUAAUGAGUUACGAUGUAAAAUUUAUAACAGUUGCAUUUUGCUUUCUCUGACUUAAGCAUCUCAUAUAAAGAACUAGGGAAUUUUAAGUGCUUUCAGUAUUUCAAAGACAUUUCCUUUGAGGGUUGGACAGAUUUUAAUGUGUUAUUCUUGGUCAAUGUUAGUUUGUCCCUAACAAGCUCAAAUUCAAAAGAGAUUCCCUUUUGAAAUACUGGCAAAUUUGAAAGACUAUGAAACAGACUUUCAAAUGCAGUAAAUUUACUUCAGUGAUGCCUCUUGGAAGACAGCAAUACUUUUCUCCCCUCCAAAUUUAGCCUUAACAUUUAAUCUAUAGGGUUAUUAUUUUCUGUAUUUCUUUAUAUCCCCCUAACC